UGGGGAAUAUUGGACAAUGGAGGAAACUCUGAUCCAGCAAUUCUGUGUGUGUGAAGAAGGUUUUAGGACUGUAAAACACUUUUAGUAGGGAAGAAAAAAAUGACGGUACCUACAGAAGAAGCAACGGCUAAAUACGUGCCAGCAGCCGCGGUAAUACGUAUGUUGCGAGCGUUAUCCGGAAUUAUUGGGCUUAAAGGGCAUCUAGGCGGUAAGACAAGUUGAAGGUGAAAACCUGUGGCUCAACCAUAGGCUUGCCUACAAAACUGUUGAACUAGAGUACUGGAAAGGUGGGUGGAACUACACGAGUAGAGGUGAAAUUCGUAGAUAUGUGUAGGAAUGCCGAUGAUGAAGGUAACUCACUGGACAGAAACUGACGCUGAAGUGCGAAAGCUAGGGGAGCAAACAGG
rnacentral:rRNA from 1 species